GGGGAAUAUUGGACAAUGGGGGGAACCCUGAUCCAGCCAUGCCGCGUGUGUGAAGAAGGCCUUAUGGUUGUAAAGCACUUUAAGCGAGGAGGAGGCUCUUUUGGUUAAUACCCAAGAUGAGUGGACGUUACUCGCAGAAUAAGCACCGGCUAACUCUGUGCCAGCAGCCGCGGUAAUACAGAGGGUGCGAGCGUUAAUCGGAUUUACUGGGCGUAAAGCGUGCGUAGGCGGCUUUUUAAGUCGGAUGUGAAAUCCCCGAGCUUAACUUGGGAAUUGCAUUCGAUACUGGGAAGCUAGAGUAUGGGAGAGGAUGGUAGAAUUCCAGGUGUAGCGGUGAAAUGCGUAGAGAUCUGGAGGAAUACCGAUGGCGAAGGCAGCCAUCUGGCCUAAUACUGACGCUGAGGUACGAAAGCAUGGGGAGCAAACAGGAUUAGGAUACCCUGGUAGUCCAUGCCGUAAACGAUGUCUACUAGCCGUUGGGGUCUUUGAGACUUUAGUGGCGCAGCUAACGCGAUA
rnacentral:rRNA from 1 species